rnacentral:rRNA from 1 species
GUGCAGCAGGCGCGAAAACUUCACACUGUGCGAAAGCACGAUGAGGGAAUCCCAAGUGCUUGCACGUAAGUGUAAGCUGUUUCUCUGUCUAAAACGCAGAGAGAGUAAGGGCUGGGUAAGACGGGUGCCAGCCGCCGCGGUAAUACCUGCAGCUCAAGUGGUGACCGUUAUUAUUGGGCCUAAAACGUCCGUAGCCGGUUUAAUAAAUGCCUGGGUAAAUUGUGUAGCUUAACUAUACGAAUUCCUGGUAGACUGUUAAACUUGAGACCGGGAGAAGUUAGAGGUACUCCUGGGGUAGAGGUGAAAUUCUGUAAUCCUAGGGGACCACCAGUGGCGAAGGCGUCUAACUAGAACGGGUCUGACGGUGAGGGACGAAGCCCUGGGGCGCAAACGGGAUUAGAUACCCGCGUAGU